UCUCAUGACCAUUUUUUUGGGGGGUUGUUUGGAUCUCGGUAUUUUCCAUCUAUAUUUCCAUACUUACUUUAAGAAUCAACACAACGAUUCAACUUAUAGUAAUCGUUGUUUGCUUUCAUCCAAUGCAAUCCUAUGGAGGUACAAUGGAGAUCUAAUUUGGGCAAUUGAAGGCAUAGAUGUCAGAAAUUGAACCCAGAUUUGGACGGUUGAGCGAAACGUGAUUGAUAGUUACCAUGUAUACUCUGAAUUUUGCAUUGUUUAGGUUUUAUCAAAUGGAAUCGAUUGGCAAGUCCUGUAACUCUUACCAUGGCUUCGUGCUGGGGAUAGCCGUACUGAUUUCGUAACAAUUGGUUAGUCACGGUAUGAAGAUUAAAAUGAGUGAAAACAUAAAUGUCAAAAUCGAUC